rnacentral:rRNA from 1 species
AUUGAACGCUGGCGGCGUGCCUAACACAUGCAAGUCGAGCGGUAAGGCCCUUUCGGGGGUACACGAGCGACGAACGGGUGAGUAACACGUGGGUGACCUGCCCUCAGCUCUGGGAUAAGCCUGGGAAACCGGGUCUAAUACUGGAUAUGACUCCAUGACGCAUGUUGUGGGGUGGAAAGCCUUGUGCGGCUGAGGAUGGGCCCGCGGCCUAUCAGCUUGUUGGUGGGGUGAUGGCCUACCAAGGCGACGACGGGUAGCCGGCCUGAGAGGGCGACCGGCCACACUGGGACUGAGACACGGCCCAGACUCCUACGGGAGGGCAGCAGUGGGGAAUCUUGCGCAAUGGGCGAAAGCCUGACGCAGCGACGCCGCGUGAGGGAUGACGGCCU